rnacentral:rRNA from 1 species
UCCCCUAGUAACUGCGAGUGAAGCGGGAAAAGCUCAAAUUUAAAAUCUGGCGGCCUUUUGGCUGUCCGAGUUGUAAUCUAGAGAAGUGUUAUCCGCGCUGGACCGUGUACAAGUCUCCUGGAAUGGAGCGUCAUAGAGGGUGAGAAUCCCGUCUUUGACACGGACUACCAGGGCUUUGUGAUGCGCUCUCAAAGAGUCGAGUUGUUUGGGAAUGCAGCUCUAAAUGGGUGGUAAAUUCCAUCUAAAGCUAAAUAUUGGCGAGAGACCGAUAGCGAACAAGUACCGUGAGGGAAAGAUGAAAAGAACUUUGGAAAGAGAGUUAAACAGUACGUGAAAUUGUUGAAAGGGAAACGCUUGAAGUCAGUCGCGUUGUCCAGGGAUCAACCUUGCUUUUUNNNNNNNNNNNNNNUUUUUUGCUUGGCGUACUUCCUGGUUAACGGGUCAGCAUCAAUUUUGACCGGUGGAUAAAGGUCAGGGGAAUGUGACAUCUUCGGAUGUGUUAUAGCCCUUGGUUGCAUACAUCGGUUGGGAUUGAGGAACUCAGCACGCCGAAAGGCCGGGUUUUUAACCACGUUCGUGCUUAGGAUGCUGGCAUAAUGGCUUUAAUCGACCCGUCUUGAAACACGGACCAAGGAGUCUAACAUGCAUGCGAGUGUUUGGGUGGAAAACCCGAGCGCGCAAUGAAAGUGAAAAUUGAGAUCCCUGUCGUGGGGAGCAUCGAUGCCCGGACCAGACCUUCUGUGACGGAUCCGCGGUUGAGCAUGUAUGCUGGGACCCGAAAGAUGGUGAACUAUGCCUGAAUAGGGUGAAGCCAGAGGAAACUCUGGUGGAGGCUCGUAGCGAUUCUGACGUGCAAAUCGAUCGUCGAAUUUGG